rnacentral:rRNA from 1 species
UUAAAUUGAAGAGUUUGAUCAUGGCUCAGAUUGAACGCUGGCGGCAGGCCUAACACAUGCAAGUCGAACGGUAACAGGAAUCAGCUUGCUGAUUUGCUGA